rnacentral:rRNA from 1 species
AGAUGAACGCUAGCGGCAGGCUUAACACAUGCAAGUCGAGGGGUAACAGGGAAAAGCUUGCUUUUUUGCUGACGACCGGCGAACGGGUGCGUAACGCGUAUAGAAUCUGCCUUGUACAGGAGGAUAGCCUUUAGAAAUGAAGAUUAAUACUCCAUAAUGUUGAGAAAUGGCAUCAUUUUUUAAUUAAAGAUUUAUCGGUACAAGAUGACUAUGCGUCCUAUUAGCUAGAUGGUAAGGUAACGGCUUACCAUGGCAACGAUAGGUAGGGGGUCUGAGAGGAUUAUCCCCCACACUGGUACUGAGACACGGACCAGACUCCUACGGGAGGCAGCAGUGAGGAAUAUUGGUCAAUGGAGGCAACUCUGAACCAGCCAUGCCGCGUGCAGGAAGACUGCCCUAUGGGUUGUAAACUGCUUUUAUACAGGAAGAAACUUAGUUACGUGUAACUAACUGACGGUACUGUAAGAAUAAGCACCGGCUAACUCCGUGCCAGCAGCCGCGGUAAUACGGAGGGUGCAAGCGUUAUCCGGAAUCAUUGGGUUUAAAGGGUCCGCAGGCGGUCAAUUAAGUCAGAGGUGAAAUCCCAUAGCUUAACUAUGGAACUGCCUUUGAUACUGGUUGACUUGAGUUAUACGGAAGUAGAUAGAAUAAGUAGUGUAGCGGUGAAAUGCAUAGAUAUUACUUAGAAUACCGAUUGCGAAGGCAGUCUACUACGUAUAUACUGACGCUCAUGGACGAAAGCGUGGGGAGCGAACAGGAUUAGAUACCCUGGUAGUCCACGCCGUAAACGAUGGACACUAGUUGUUGGGUUUAUAUUCAGUGACUAAGCGAAAGUGAUAAGU